rnacentral:rRNA from 1 species
AGAGUUUGAUCAUGGCUCAGAUUGAACGCUGGCGGCAUGCUUUACACAUGCAAGUCGAACGUGAAAGCGGACUUCGGUGCGUGAUUUAAGUGGCGAACGGGUGAGUAAUACGUCGAUAAUUUACCCGCCAGUCAGGGAUAACAUUUCGAAAGGAAUGCUAAUACCGGAUAAGGCUACGCCCUCUUCGGAGGAAGUAGGAAAAGGUGGGCACCUUCUGGCCCUGGCGUUGUUGGAUGAGCCCGUGUCCGAUUAGCUAGUUGGUAGGGUAAAGGCCUACCAAGGCGACGAUGGGUAGCUGGUCUGAGAGGAUGAUCACCCACACUGGGACUGAGACACGGCCCAGACUCCUACGGGAGGCAGCAGUGGGGAAUUUUGGGCAAUGGGCCGAAAGCCUGACGCAGGCAAUGCCGCGUGAGUGAAGAAGGCCUUCGGGUCGUAAAGCUCUGUCAGAGGGGAAGAACCAUCUCUCAUAUAAUACUUGACAGGCCUGACGGUACCCUCAGAAGAAGCACCGGCUAACUACGUGCCAGCAGCCGCGGUAAUACGUAGGGUGCAAGCGUUAUUCGGAAUUACUGGGCGUAAAGCGCACGAAGGCGGUCUUUCAAGUCAGAUGUGAAAUCCCGGGGCUCAACCUGGGAAGUGCAUUGGAAACUGGCAGACUAGAGUAUGGGAG